UCAUUGCAAUUGUUGGUC
rnacentral:siRNA from 1 species